UUCCGGUUGAUCCUGCCGGAGGCCAUUGCUAUUGGGGUUCGGCUAAGCCAUGCGAGUGGUGGGCGUUCCGAAAGGGAUGGCCCCGCACACGGCUCAGUAACACGUAGUUAACCUGCCCUCGGGACGGGAACAACGCCGGAACUGGCGAUAAUUCCAGAUAGGUGGGGGACGCUGGAAUGCCUCCUUGCCUAAAUCCUCUGGGGCCCGAGGAUGGGACUGCGGCCUAUCAGGCUGUUGGCGGUGUAACGGACCACCAAACCUACAACGGGUACGGGCGAUGGGAGUCGGAGCCCGGAGAUGGGGACUGAGACAAGGCCCCAGGACCUACGGGGCGCAGCAGGUACGAAAACUCCGCCAAUGCGCGAAAGCGUGACGGGGGAACCCCAAGUGCCGUUGUCCUUUGAUCGCCGGCUUUUAGGGAGUCUAAGAAACUCCCGGAAUAAGGGCUGGGCAAGUCGGGUGCCAAGCGCCGGAUAAUAUCCCGGCCCAAGUGGGGGUCGCGAUUAUUGGGCCUAAAGCGCUCGUAGCCGGGUCAGCAAGUCCCUUGUGAAAUCGGGCGGCCUAACCGUUCGGCUUGCAAGGGAUACUGUUGGUCUUGAGGCCGGGAGACGUCUGAGGUACUCCGGGGGUAGCGGUAAAAUGCUGUAAUCCUCGGGGGACCACCAGUGGCGAAGGCGUCAGACGAGAACGGACCUGACGGUGAGGGGCGAAGGCUAGGGGAGCGAACGGGAUUAGAUACCCCGGUAGUCCUAGCUGUAAAGCAUGCGGGCCAGGUGUCUGGUGUUCCUUGAGAGCACCAAGUGCCGGAGGGAAGCCGUUAAGCCCGCCGCCUGGGGAGUACGGCCGCAAGGCUGAAACUUAAAGGAAUUGGCGGGA
rnacentral:rRNA from 1 species